UAAGCGGAGGAAAAGAAACUAACAAGGAUUCCCCUAGUAACUGCGAGUGAAGCGGGAAAAGCUCAAAUUUAAAAUCUGGUGGUCUUUGGCCAUCCGAGUUGUAAUUUAGAGAAGCGACUUCCGCGCUGGACCGUGCACAAGUCUCCUGGAAUGGAGCGUCAUAGAGGGUGAGAAUCCCGUCUUUGGCACGGACACGCCAGGGCUUUUGUGAUGCGCUCUCGAAGAGUCGAGUUGUUUGGGAAUGCAGCUCAAAAUGGGUGGUAAAUUCCAUCUAAAGCUAAAUAUUGGCGAGAGACCGAUAGCGAACAAGUACCGUGAGGGAAAGAUGAAAAGAACUUUGGAAAGAGAGUUAAACAGUACGUGAAAUUGCUGAAAGGGAAACGCUUGAAGUCAGUCGCGUCGUCCAGGGAUCAACCUUGCUUUUGCUUGGUGCACUUCCUGGUUUGACGGGUCAGCAUCAAUUUUGACCAUUGGAAAAAGGCUAAGGGAAUGUGGCAUCUUUGGAUGUGUUAUAGCCCUUUGUCACAUACAAUGGUUGGGAUUGAGGAACUCAGCAUGCCGCAAGGCCGGGUUUUUUUAACCACGUACAUGCUUAGGAUGCUGGCAAUAUGGCUUUAAUCGACC
rnacentral:rRNA from 1 species